UCCACAAAAGUUAAUCUCCAAGGAAGCUUAAGGGUUUUGGUGGAGUGAUUUGGGAAGAGGAAGGUCUUGGCAGCUUCUUGACAUAGGGAUUAAGGUGAAUUUGGGUUUCUUAGCGAUUAAAGCCACUUUGGGUAAAAACUUUUGAAGUAUCUGUACUGGAACUGGUGAGUGUACUACUUCCCUAAUUUGUUACUAUCUGGCUAUCUGUGACUUCUGUAUAUUCUGUAUGAAACGAGGGUGUACUUUAUCGCUCUCGUUUCUCUCAUCUGUUACUUGUUUCUUGCAUACUGUAUAAGUCUGUAUUUGCUCUCUGUAUCUGUUAUCUGUAUCUGUUCUCUGUAUAAGUCUGCGAUCUCUGAGCUCAAAAUCUGUGGCUAGUUACUCGAGUCGAGUCGACAAGAGUCUGGUCGAUUAGAUAACAAACCAUGGUAGUCUGUUUCUGGGAAUCUUUGGGUAUUGAGACUCUUGAUUCCGGUAUAAUCGAAUAUUACCAUUUCUGUUUCUGUUGAGGUGUUCGGGCCCGGUAGGGGGUAUGUUCGGUGGACGGAAUCUGGUGUAAAGUGAGGUCUACGGACAUGUUGGUUCAGUAUACGUUGACGGAGAGUCAACGGGUUGGGAUCAAACUCUGCAACGAAAAUUUGGUUCCUGAGAGCCACCCGUAUCCUUUCUAUCUGCGGUGUUUGUUCAUUUCCUUACUUGAUUUGCAUAUGUGACUAUUUGAAUAUGAAGUUCCAUGAUUCUUACCUGCUAUUAUUUUGGUACCUCAUUGAGCGUAAGCUCACCUCCUUGCUGUUAUCUUUGUUUUCCUUGCAGGAAACCAAACUUUGAAUCCAUGAUUUUGGAAGAAAGGGUCGAGCUAGUGUAAUUAGUAUUUUGUUAAGCUCUUUUGCAACCGAAACCUGAAUCGUAUUUUUAUGUGUAUGAAUACCUUGGCUUGUAUUUUAGUUUAGUUAAUUUGCCAAA